rnacentral:rRNA from 1 species
AGGAUGAACGCUGGCGGCGUGCCUAAUACAUGCAAGUCGAGCGGUAAGGCCCCUUCGGGGGUACACGAGCGGCGGACGGCUGAGUAACACGUAGGAACGUACCCCAAACUGAGGGAUAAGCACCAGAAAUGGUGUCUAAUACCGCAUGUGGUCUUCGGAUUAAAGCUUCGGCGGUUUGGGAACGGCCUGCGCAUGAUUAGCUUGUUGGUGAGGUAAAAGCUUACCAAGGCGACGAUCAUUAGCUGGUCUGAGAGGAUGAUCAGCCAGACUGGGACUGAGAACGGCCCAGACUCCUACGGGAGCGAGCAGUAGGGAAUUUUCCACAAUGGGC